GGGGAUAUGGUUUAGUUGGUAUAACAUUCCAUUAGCACUAAUCAGCUUAUCUUGGAAAGGUCUGGCGUUCGAUUCGCCAUUUCUCCA